rnacentral:rRNA from 1 species
AGAGAGAGACAUGCGCGCAUAUCAAUAAGCGGAGGAAAAGAAACUAACUAGGAUUCCCUCAGUAACGGCGAGUGAAGCGGGAAGAGCUCAAAUUUGAAAUCUUCAAGGUUCUACCUUGACGAAUUGUAGUUUAAAGAAGCGUUUUCUGUUGGAGUUUUGGUAAAGGUUCUUUGGAAUAGGACAUCAUAGAGGGUGAGAAUCCCGUAUUUGACCUUUACUUUCCACUUUGUGAUACACUUUCAAAGAGUCGGAUUGUUUGGGAAUGCAGUCCAAAAUGGGUGGUAAAUUUCAUCUAAAGCUAAAUACUGGCGAGAGACCGAUAGCGAACAAGUACCGUGAGGGAAAGAUGAAAAGAACUUUGAAAAGAGAGUUAAACAGUACGUGAAAUUGUCAAAAGGGAAGCGUUUGACACCAGUGUUGUUUUUCUGAAAAUCAAUUAAAGAACUGUCUAUGCUAAGCUUGUUUAGACUUUAUCAGCUAAUCUGUUUAGUUUUGAGCUUUUCUUUAAUGCACUUUUCAGUUAACAAGUCAACAUCAAUUUCUUUUGCUGUAAAAAAGCUUGAGGAAGGUGGCUUGAGAUUCGUCUUAAGUGUUUAUAGCCUCUUGCCUAUGCAGUCGGAGAGAUUGAGGUCUGCAGCGUAGAUCCUUCGGGGCUAAAUGCAUUUGUGCUAAGUUAUAACAUUUUAUAGACAACUUGUUGACUAUGAUUUGUCUUGUAGCUUACUCGCUUAUGCUAUUUUACCUACGCUUAGGAUGUUGAUGUGAUACUGCGAGCA